AGGGCUUGGAUGGAAGUAGGAUGCGUUUUCCUGGAUCGAAGGUCUGCUCUGCUGAGAGGCCGGGAGGCAGAAAGACUGGGCGGCCGUGGGCCGGCACAGACCGCGGGGAGGGGCCCCGGACGCUGGUCCCCGCCGCGGGUUUGUGCUGCGGCAGCGAGGGGACAGCUUGGGAACAAAGAUGCACGAGGGAGGAGGGCAGGAGCCUCUACCGCACAACUCCUAAAGGCGGCGGGCCUCCACUGCGACUUGGAGGGGCGUGUCCACAGGAGGAGUCCUUACUCAGGCUAAAAACAGGAGCAGCCCUCCCCCCCGGAAGCUGCCGGCUCUUCAGACUGGACAGUGUCACCCUCCUUGCGGAUGUACACCACUCAGGGACGCCAGCUCGGACAAGGCUAUUGUGAGGCUGAGUCAUGAGACAAAACUCGGCCACUUCACAGCGCUGUCUCAACACAGACAGAAGCAAGGUCGCUGCGCCACCCCCAGAAUACCACACAGCCCCUGGCUUGGCUGAAGUGAGUGACAGCUGCGGCUGUAACCAAGUGCAGCUCCGCCUUCAUUCUAGUCUGCAGAGAGGGUUUACUGAGAUGCUUUCUGACAGCAUCCAACCAGCAGCAACCCCUGCUUCCUUAGACCCUCCUGCAAACUCCCUGCCAAGCCCCUGUCAGAUCACACAUUGGCUAAGGGCACGGACAGUGGUGAGACAUGCGUGUUUGGAAAUCUGUCUGCAUCAGAGUCAUGCAGGAAUGCUGCUCACAGGAUGACCCCAGGACGGAGGGGGUUCUCAGAAGCAAGCCUUUCAGUUUUAAACCAGAGAAGUUCCCAGGUAAACCGGGGUGAGUUGGUCCCAGCUGUUGACUCUCUCCCUGAGGCUUCUGUCCAACUCUGGAGUGUUUGAGCUUCUGCUUUGCAGGUUUGGGGCUGCAGGGACAGGAAAUGACAGCCAGGAACUGCCCAAAGAGGGGAAGCCAAGAGGAGGACCCGGAAAGUUUUUAUUUUAUUUUAUUUUAUUUUAUUUUAUUUUAUUUUAUUUUAUUUUAUUUUAUUGAAGUAUAGUCAGCUUACAAUGUUGAAAAGUUUUUUUAAUGAUAACUUAUUUAUUUGUAUUUAUUUUUAAUUGAAGUAUAGUCAGUUACAAUGUGUCAGUUUUUGGUGUACAACAUAAUGUUUCAGGCAUACAUAUACAUACAUAUUCUCGUUUUCAUAUUCUUUUUCAUUAUAGGUUACUUCAGGAUAUUGAAUAUAGUUCCUUGUGCUAUGUAGAAGAAAUUUUAAAAAUCUAUUUUAUUAAAAAAAUUAUUAAAUUUUGUAACUCUCGAACUCCCAGUUUACCCCUUCCCACUCCUUUUCCUGCCAUAACUUUUAAGUUUUGAUUUUUUAGUUGUUGAUUUUUUUCCCCUAAGGGAGGUGCUGGGGAUUGAACCCAGGACCUCGUGCACACUAAGCACAUGCUCUACCACUGAGGUGUACUUCCACCUUUUAAAAAAAUUUGGUUAGCCUAUUUAUUUUUUAUUUCCAAGGAGUCUCAAAAAAAAUUUUUUUUAAAUGGAGGUGCCUGGGAUUGAACCCAUGUCCUUGUGCAUGCUAAGCACACACUCUACCACUGAGCUGUACCACGUCUCCCCUCAAGCUGGGCCCCAGAAAAUUUUAAAACACUUUAUUUGCACUCAGUUUUGAACUAGAUGCAAAUUUCAGACCUGACAGGCAGAGCUGGGCUCUGUUUCCAAACAAAAUCAAGUUACCUGAGAUACAAUCUCCUUUAAAAGGCUUCAGAAAGUCAUAACUGUAUUUAGAACUACAUGGAACUUAAGACAUUACUGCACAGGCAAUGCUAUAAAUGAGAUUAAAACAUGGCAAAUCUCAUGGGAGAGUGUGCUAAAUGACCAAAUACUCUUUCAAGUGGUAAAUGUAAUUCUCAGACACAGUAAAUAACAAAUCAUACCACAAAAGACACCUGAAGGAGGAGGCAUUCUCCUGUCCACACGCGUCAGUCUGCUCUGUGGGCGGGGAAGCUCUGCCAGGAGCGCCCUCAAGACACGGUCUCAGGAGGAAGACUUUGCAAAUGGAAUGAAACCCCGUGCAAAGCAAUUAAUGCUACUGUUAAGGCGCAGCUUACCCUCCAUCAUAACUCUGAAAAGACAUUCACUUCUGUGAAUGCACUAAAAACCGCUGAGUUGUGCACUUGCUAUAGGUGAAUAUAUAUGUGAAUUGUAUCUCAGUGAAGCUACUUUUAAAAAAUGACGCGGCCGACUUGUUCCAUGCUUUGUAAGCGGCCACCAUUGUGGGAGGCUGAGGGAGGGAACCGGACUCUACUCAUUCUGCAACUUCUGUGAGUCUCUAAUUGUUUCAAAUAAAACUUUAGUUAGAAAAAAACAUCAAUUAGUUAAUAACAAAUUUGAAUAUUUAAUAAUUAAGUUAAGAAAUUGAGAAAAUUAAAGUAUUUUGAAAGUCA